UUCCCAUAUUACCCUUUGCAAAUGUGAAAAGGAAGAAUGAAGAUGUAAGGUUACGCCAUUUUUCCCCUAAACGGAGCACGAAGAAGAAGAGGAAGAGAAAGUGAGAGAGAAUGGCGAAGCAUUUUGGGACAAUCGGAGUUCUUUAGGAGGAGGAGCGAGUGGAGGAAGCAUCCAAGGCUCAGCAAUCAGCUCUGUCAUGCCCUUCUAGGUCUUAGCCUCAGAGUCGACGAGCUGGUCUACAACAAACUCCUCCUUCCUUUUCUUCUUCUGCUUCUUCUUCUUCUCACCACUCUUCCCAUUCCUCUGCUUCUCACUGACUCACUGAGACAACUAAAACAAUAACCUCAUCAGACAUUAUUGAAGAAUUAAUCAACAAAGGGUAUGAACGUCGAAAUAACGCAGCUGCAAUGCAAACUCUUGUUACUAAUUGGUUGAAAAAUAUCAUGCAAGAGCGCUCAAAUAAUGGCAGAAGCUUACGUGUUAUUCCAUUGAACUUAUACAAGUUUCAAAUUGUUGGCUAUGGCAUGUUUGUUGGAGUAGUCAACUUUGAAAAUAAGACAUGCUCAUGCAAGGAAUUCGACAUUGAUGGAUUUCUUUGUGUCCAUGCAAUUGAAGUAUGUAAGCAUCGACAUAUUUCUCCAUAUUUCCUUUGCUCGGUGCAUUACUCAGUUGACUCACUCCGUGAUGCGUAUUCGGAAACCAUAUAUCCACUUGGAGAUAAAAGUCAAUGGCAUGCUCCAGAUGAUGUCAUAAACCAGGUUGUACUUCCACCUCAAAUUGGCAAACAGUCAGGAAGACCGAGAAAGAAGAGGAUUCAAUCUCAAGGAGAGGAGCGUCAUCAAUAUAGAUGCGGGAGGUGCAAACAGGUUGGUCACAGCAGACGAUCAUGCUCCGCCGCCGUACCUCUUGAUAGCACUAACAACCAACAGCACCACUGAAACGAACGCCCAUCAAUUGCAUGAUGAUAUAUUCAGACAAUGAGGCCAUGUUAUGUGGUAUGCAUGUGUAUGAAAUGUAGUCAGGAAUGCAAUUAGUUGGUCAACCGCGUAACGUGUGUUUUGGCAUAAUAGACGUUGGCUUUAUGUGUUCUUUUAUUGUCAAAUUCAUUUGUCGUAUUGUUUUGAUAACAUAUCAUUCCGUCUUCAGUUUUUGGUUCA